AUGCUUUCCUCCUUUGGUGAAGCUACCGGCCUCUCCACAAACUGCACCAAAAGUUCUAUGGCACCCAUCAGAUGUGCCAAUGUGGACCUAGAUGAUGUUCUCCAGUCAUUCCCGGCUUGCCGCUCCUCCUUCCCGAUCCGCUACCUUGGGCUCCCCCUCGUGAUCAAAAGAUUAAAGAGGGUGCAUCUUCAACUUUUGGAAGACAAGGCUGCGGGCAAAUUGGCACCUUGGAGAGGAAGGCACGUUGCUAUUGCGGGUCAUAUGACCUUGGUGUCCUUACGACGGUGGCCAUUUCUCACAUCACGCUGCUCGACAUCCCAGUGGAGGUUCUAA
rnacentral:rRNA from 1 species